CGUGUUGAACAACGUGGAUUGGUUUGACAAGCUUGUUUUAUUCCUUCAUCACUCAUCAGCAUGCUUGGUUGAAUGAUGUGGAUCGGUUUGGCAAACUUUCCGAUUUCCGUUCACUAGUAGACCAUUUAAUAUUUUAUUAGAUUUAAUUUUGUGUGUCGUUCAUUAAUCCAAUGCUAAGAGGUGCCAUGUAGAGCAGCCCUGUGAUGAUCAUUAGUGGUUUUAUCAAGCUUGGUCUAGAUGUAUUGUGUGGUCAGAUCUGGACAUCUUCCAUUUGUGAAAAUUUUGGUUUGGUUGUGGUUUAAUUAUUAUUAUUAUUAUUAUUUUGGGUGCUUUUUCCCUUUCUCCUUCACUAGUGGAUAUAUCAUUGUUUGUUUACUCUUAAUUAUUCGGGGUUUCUUUGCGAUUGAUGUCCUUUUUAGGUUUAACCCAAGAUUGUGUGGCUGAUUAACCUAAUUCCUAGAGGCAGCAUAUAGAGCCAGUCCCCAUUCAGUCAUUUGAUGAUCAUUAGUGGCGUGCCUUGUUUAUCCAAAGUUCAGUUUGAUGCAUCAAUGCCCGGUUAUCUCAUUCAUCAAAUAAUCAGUUAAAUAUUUGUACCUUUGGCCAUAUUAAUGCUCGGACUCGUUUCUGGCUUGAUGUUCUUUUGUGGUGUAGUUCAACUUGGGGGGUGCACAAUGGACUGCAGCAGGGGGUCAUUGACCUAUUUGGUUUGGAAGUGUUUUGUCAAACUUAUCUGGAUUUUCAAUGCUUCUCAUAGUUCUUCCCAACUUUGAUGAAUUUUGUAAUAUUGUGUCUCACAGGUUAGCAAGAGGUCUAACGAACGUAAUUGAUCGGUUUGAUUGAUACGAUAAGUUAUCAUAUGCCUGAUUUUCUUUAGAGUUCGUGUUUAUAUUGAUCUGUUGCUUAAGAUUUCUGUUUCCGAUUAUUUAUCGUUGGUUUGUCUGUCAUGACUUGAUGUAGUUCGGAUCGUGGAUUCGAUUUC